CAGUAGCCGCGGUAAUACGUAGGGCGCAAGCGUUGUCCGGAAUUAUUGGGCGUAAUGAGCGCGUAGGCUGGUCUUUAAGUGAGUGGUGAAAGGUUCGGGCUCAACCCGGACACUGCCUUUCAUACUGGGGACCUUGAGUGUGGGAGAGGCGAGUGGAAUGGUCGGUGUAGCGGUGAAAUGCGUAGAUAUCGAUCGGAACACCCAUGGCGAAGGCAGCUCGCUGGCCUAACACUGACGCUGAGGCGCGAAAGCGUGGGGAGCGAACAGGAUUAGAUACCCGUGUAGUCCCUGUCUCUUAUAA
rnacentral:rRNA from 1 species